AAAAAGAAAAAUAUAAGGCUACUUUUGAAAUCAAGAAUAUUUCCUAAUUUAGGAAAAGGAGAGUUAUCGUAUAACUCCUUCUUAUAUGUAAGACCGCUAAACAUAGGUUUCUGAUUAAAUUUAACGUAGGUUUUAUUUUUAUCCUAAUACUCAUGUCUCAGCGCUUCGUAUUAAAACGUAACCUAAUUCAUAAGGUUAAAACUUUUAUACUCAUUUCCUAGAUACCUACUUCUAUGUUUUUUCAACUAAAGGUUAGCAUUGAUUUAGAAGAAUUUUAUUCCUUAUUCCUUCGGUUUAUCGAUUUUUUGCUAUCAAAACCAAAUGAUCUUGGUAGGCGUAUAACAAAGUCGAGCCACCUUUGGGUUAAGAAAAGGAGUCCUAGAGAACUUACUUUAAUCCCUUGCUUCAUUCAUCUAAUCUACCUAAAUCUAUCUUAAAGAUAGAGGAUGAGAUAUUCCUAGUAGAUCUUUCGCCUCUCGAAACCAAGGUAAGUUUAUCUUUUCGACUGUAUCUACAAUUCACCACUAUUAUAGGUAUUUCC
rnacentral:rRNA from 1 species